rnacentral:piRNA from 1 species
UGAGGGUAAUAAUCUGGGAAAUCCUGCUGU